rnacentral:rRNA from 1 species
CUACGGGCCGCUGCAGUGGGGAAUAUUGCACAAUGGGCGAAAGCCUGAUGCAGCAACGCCGCGUGCGGGAUGAAGGCCCUAGGGUUGUAAACCGCUUUCAGCAGGGAAGAAAAUGACGGUACCUGUAGAAGAAGGUGCGGCCAACUACGUGCCAGCAGCCGCGGUGACACGUAGGCACCAAGCGUUGUCCGGAUUUAUUGGGCGUAAAGAGCUCGUAGGCGGUUCAGUAAGUCGGGUGUGAAAACUCUGGGCUCAACCCAGAGACGCCACCCGAUACUGCUGUGACUAGAGUGCGGUAGGGGAGCGGGGAAUUCCUAGUGUAGCGGUGAAAUGCGCAGAUAUUAGGAGGAACACCAGUGGCGAAGGCGCCGCUCUGGGCCGUAACUGACGCUGAGGAGCGAAAGCGUGGGUAGCAAACAGGAUUAGAUACCCCAGUAGUC